rnacentral:rRNA from 1 species
GACGAACGCUGGCGGCGUGCUUAACACAUGCAAGUCGAACGGAAAGGCCCUGCUCUUGUUGGGUGCUCGAGUGGCGAACGGGUGAGUAACACGUGAGUAACCUGCCCUUGUCUUUGGGAUAACUUCAGGGAACUGGGGCUCAUACCGGAUAGGAUCUCCUGCUGCAUGGUGGGGGUUGGAAAGUUUCGGCAGUUGGGGCUGGACUCGCGGCUUAUCAGCUUCUUGGUGAGGUAGGGGCUGACCAGGGCUGUGACGGGUAGCCGGCCUGAGAGGGUGACCGGCCACAAUAGGACUGAGAGACGGACCAGAAGCGAACGGGAGGCAGCAGGCGAGAAUAUUACACAGUGGGCGGGCGUCUGAGGCAGCAGCGCCGGGUGCGGGAUGACCGGUUUCGAGUGGAAAACAGCUGUCGAAUGUGACAAAGCGGGAGUGACGGUAAUGAGUAAGGAAGCAACGGCUAACUACGUG